UACGAAGGGUGCAAGCGUUAAUCGGAAUUACUGGGCGUAAAGCGCGCGUAGGUGGUUCAGCAAGUUGAAUGUGAAAGCCCUGGGCUCAACCUGGGAACUGCAUCCAAAACUACUGAGCUAGAGUACGGUAGAGGGUAGUGGAAUUUCCUGUGUAGCGGUGAAAUGCGUAGAUAUAGGAAGGAACACCAGUGGCGAAGGCGACUACCUGGACUGAUACUGACACUGAGGUGCGAAAGCGUGGGGAGCAAAC
rnacentral:rRNA from 1 species